UGACAAUUCGGGUGAUUUAAACUGGAGUUGAUGAAACAUCAGUCGUCCUAAGACAGUGGAUGUCCUGCUACAGUGGAGGUCUAGCGAAAAUGGAGGUGAUGGGACAGUGGAUGUCCUGCUGCAGUGGAGGUCUAGCGACAGUGGAGGUGAUGGGACAGUGAAGGUCCUGCUACAGUUGCCAUCAAAGUGCUUGUAAAGCAGAAG